rnacentral:rRNA from 1 species
UACGUAGGUGGCGAGCGUUAUCCGGAUUUACUGGGUUUAAAGGGUGCGUAGGCGGACAGGUAAGUCCGUGGUGAAAUCUCUGAGCUUAACUCAGAAACUGCCAUGGAUACUAUUUGUCUUGAAUACUGUGGAGGUAAGCGGAAUAUGUCAUGUAGUGGUGAAAUGCUUAGAUAUGACAUGGAACACCAAUUGCGAAGGCAGCUUACUACACAAAUAUUGACGCUGAGGCACGAAAGCGUGGGGAUCAAACAGG